GGUUAAGCGACUAAGCGUACACGGUGGAUGCCCUGGCAGUCAGAGGCGAUGAAGGACGUGCUAAUCUGCGAUAAGCGUCGGUAAGGUGAUAUGAACCGUUAUAACCGGCGAUUUCCGAAUGGGGAAACCCAGUGUGAUUCGUCACACUAUCAUUAACUGAAUCCAUAGGUUAAUGAGGCGAACCGGGGGAACUGAAACAUCUAAGUACCCCGAGGAAAAGAAAUCAACCGAGAUUCCCCCAGUAGCGGCGAGCGAACGGGGAGGAGCCCAGAGCCUGAAUCAGUGUGUGUGUUAGUGGAAGCGUCUGGAAAGGCGCGCGAUACAGGGUGACAGCCCCGUACACAAAAAUGCACAUGCUGUGAGCUCGAUGAGUAGGGCGGGACACGUGGUAUCCUGUCUGAAUAUGGGGGGACCAUCCUCCAAGGCUAAAUACUCCUGACUGACCGAUAGUGAACCAGUACCGUGAGGGAAAGGCGAAAAGAACCCCGGCGAGGGGAGUGAAAAAGAACCUGAAACCGUGUACGUACAAGCAGUGGGAGCCUCUUUAUGGGGUGACUGCGUACCUUUUGUAUAAUGGGUCAGCGACUUAUAUUCUGUAGCAAGGUUAACCGAAUAGGGGAGCCGAAGGGAAACCGAGUCUUAACUGGGCGUUAAGUUGCAGGGUAUAGACCCGAAACCCGGUGAUCUAGCCAUGGGCAGGUUGAAGGUUGGGUAACACUAACUGGAGGACCGAACCGACUAAUGUUGAAAAAUUAGCGGAUGACUUGUGGCUGGGGGUGAAAGGCCAAUCAAACCGGGAGAUAGCUGGUUCUCCCCGAAAGCUAUUUAGGUAGCGCCUCGUGAACUCAUCUCCGGGGGUAGAGCACUGUUUCGGCAAGGGGGUCAUCCCGACUUACCAACCCGAUGCAAACUGCGAAUACCGGAGAAUGUUAUCACGGGAGACACACGGCGGGUGCUAACGUCCGUCGUGAAGAGGGAAACAACCCAGACCGCCAGCUAAGGUCCCAAAGUCAUGGUUAAGUGGGAAACGAUGUGGGAAGGCCCAGACAGCCAGGAUGUUGGCUUAGAAGCAGCCAUCAUUUAAAGAAAGCGUAAUAGCUCACUGGUCGAGUCGGCCUGCGCGGAAGAUGUAACGGGGCUAAACCAUGCACCGAAGCUGCGGCAGCGACGCUUAUGCGUUGUUGGGUAGGGGAGCGUUCUGUAAGCCUGCGAAGGUGUACUGUGAGGUAUGCUGGAGGUAUCAGAAGUGCGAAUGCUGACAUAAGUAACGAUAAAGCGGGUGAAAAGCCCGCUCGCCGGAAGACCAAGGGUUCCUGUCCAACGUUAAUCGGGGCAGGGUGAGUCGACCCCUAAGGCGAGGCCGAAAGGCGUAGUCGAUGGGAAACAGGUUAAUAUUCCUGUACUUGGUGUUACUGCGAAGGGGGGACGGAGAAGGCUAUGUUGGCCGGGCGACGGUUGUC
rnacentral:rRNA from 1 species